AGUUUGAUCAUGGCUCAGAACGUACGCUGGCGGCACGCCUUAUACAUGCAAGUCGAACGAAGUAGUAAUACUUAGUGGCAGACGGGUGAGUAACAUGUGGGUAUCUUCCCUUUGGUGAGGAAUAACACGAGGAAACUUGUGCUAAUACCUCAUAAGUCUUUACGGAGAAAGCUUUAUGCGCCAAUGGAUGAGCCCGCACUUGAUUAGUUUGUUGGUGGGGUAAAGGCCUACCAAGACUUUUAUCAAUAGCUGAUCUGAGAGGAUGAUCAGCCACAUUGGGACUGAGACACGGCCCAAACUCCUACGGGAGGCAGCAGUAGGGAAUAUUGCACAAUGGAGGAAACUCUGAUGCAGCGAUGCCGCGUGAGUGAAGAAGGCCUUUGGGUUGUAAAGCUCUUUCGUCGGGGAAGAAAAUGACUGUACCCGAAUAAGAAGGUCCGGCUAACUUCGUGCCAGCAGCCGCGGUAAUACGAAGGGACCUAGCGUAGUUCGGAAUUACUGGGCUUAAAGAGUUCGUAGGUGGUUGAAAAAGUUGGUGGUGAAAUCCCAGAGCUUAACUCUGGAACUGCCAUCAAAACUUUUCAGCUAGAGUUUGAUAGAGGAAAGCAGAAUUUCUAGUGUAGAGGUGAAAUUCGUAGAUAUUAGAAAGAAUACCAAUUGCGAAGGCAGCUUUCUGGAUCAUUACUGACACUGAGGAACGAAAGCAUGGGUAGCGAAGAGGAUUAGAUACCCUCGUAGUCCAUGCCGUAAACGAUGUGUGUUAGACGUUGGAAAUUUAUUUUCAGUGUCGCAGCGAAAGCGAUAAACACACCGCCUGGGGAGUACGACCGCAAGGUUAAAACUCAAAUGAAUUGACGGGGACCCGCACAAGUAGUGGAGCAUGUGGUUUAAUUCGAAGAUACGCGCAGAACCUUACCAACACUUGACAUGUUCGUCGCGACUUUAAGAGAUUAAAGUUUUCGGUUCGGCCGGACGAAACACAGGUGCUGCAUGGCUGUCGUCAGCUCGUGUCGUGAGAUGUUGGGUUAAGUCCCGCAACGAGCGCAACCCUCACUUUUAGUUGCCAUCAUUUAGUUGGGCACUCUGAAAGAACUGCCAGUGAUAAGCUGGAGGAAGGUGGGGAUGACGUCAAGUCCUCAUGGCCCUUACGUGUUGGGCUACACACGUGCUACAAUGGCAUUUACAAUAGGAAGCAAGACGGCGACGUUAAGCAAAUCCUAAAAAAAUGCCUCAGUUCGGAUUGUACUCUGCAACUCGAGUACAUGAAGCUGGAAUUACUAGUAAUCGCGGAUCAGCGCGCCGCGGUGAAUACGUUCCCGGGUCUUGUACACACCGCCCGUCACACCAUGGGAGUUGGUUCUACCUUAAGGCAAAGGUUAAAAACUUUGACCACGGUAUAGUCAGCGACUGGGGUGAAGUCGUAACAAGGUAGCCGUA
rnacentral:rRNA from 1 species